rnacentral:rRNA from 1 species
AGAGUUUGAUCCUGGCUCAGGAUAAACGCUGGCGGCGCACAUAAGACAUGCAAGUCGAACGGACUUAAUCGAUUCUUUUAGAUUCGAAGCGGUUAGUGGCGGACUGGUGAGUAACACGUAAGCAACCUGCCUAUUAGAGGGGAAUAACAGUGAGAAAUCACUGCUAAAACCGCAUAUGCCGUGAACAUCGCAUGAUGAAAACGGGAAAAGAGCAAUCUGCUAAUAGAUGGGCUUGCGUCUGAUUAGCUAGUUGGUGUGGUAAAGGCAUACCAAGGCAACGAUCAGUAGCCGGACUGAGAGGUUGAACGGCCACAUUGGGACUGAGAUACGGCCCAGACUCCUACGGGAGGCAGCAGUCGGGAAUAUUGCGCAAUGGAGGAAACUCUGACGCAGUGACGCCGCGUAUGGGAAGAAGGUUUUCGGAUUGUAAACCAUUUUAGACAAGGAAGAAACAAGACAGUACUUGUAGAAUAAGCUCCGGCUAACUACGUGCCAGCAGCCGCGGUAAUACGUAGGGAGCAAGCGUUAUCCGGAUUUAUUGGGUGUAAAGGGUGCGUAGACGGGAAGGUAAGUUAGUUGUGAAAUCCCUCGGCUCAACUGAGGAACUGCGACUAAAACUGCUUUUCUUGAGUGCUGGAGAGGAAAGUGGAAUUCCUAGUGUAGCGGUGAAAUGCGUAGAUAUUAGGAGGAACACCAGUGGCGAAGGCGACUUUCUGGACAGUAACUGACGUUGAGGCACGAAAGUGUGGGGAGCAAACAGGAUUAGAUACCCUGGUAGUCCACACCGUAAACGAUGGAUACUAGGUGUAGGGGAUAUUAAGUCUUCUGUGCCGUCGCAAACGCAGUAAGUAUCCCACCUGGGGAGUACGGCCGCAAGGUUGAAACUCAAAGGAAUUGACGGGGGCCCGCACAAGCAGUGGAGUAUGUGGUUUAAUUCGACGCAACGCGAAGAACCUUACCAAGUCUUGACAUCCCUUGACGAUGCUGGAAACAGUAUUUCUCUUCGGAGCAAGGAGACAGGUGGUGCAUGGUUGUCGUCAGCUCGUGUCGUGAGAUGUUGGGUUAAGU